CCUACGGGAGGCAGCAGUGGGGAAUCUUGCGCAAUGGGCGAAAGCCUGACGCAGCCAUGCCGCGUGAAUGAUGAAGGUCUUAGGAUUGUAAAGUUCUUUCGCCCGUGACGAUGAUGACGGUAACGGGAGAAGAAGCCCCGGCUAACUUCGUGCCAGCAGCCGCGGUAAUACGAAGGGGGCUAGCGUUGUUCGGAAUUACUGGGCGUAAAGCGCGCGUAGGCGGCUUUGCAAGCCAGGGGUGAAAUGCCUGAGCUCAACUUGGGAAUUGCCUUUGGGACUGUGAGGCUUCGAGGACUGGAGAGGUGAGUGGAAUUCCCAGUGUAGAGGUGAAAUUCGUAGAUAUUGGGAAGAACACCGGUGGCGAAGGCGGCUCACUGGCCAGUUUCUGACGCUAAAGCGCGAAAGCGUGGGGAUCAAACAGGAUUAGAUACCCUAGUAGU
rnacentral:rRNA from 1 species